rnacentral:lncRNA from 1 species
ACCUAAGGCAUCUUUGUGAAUAAAAUGCCUAUGAACAACAAUGUUGGGAAUUACAUCUGGUCAAUAUGCACUCUUUGUGGAACUAUGAGAAAGGUUCUUCCUCAGCAGUGAACUGCUGUAGGUGGUUUCAAGCAAUAUUUUUGCAAUUUUAAAGUCGAAAACUUUUACAUUAUGAAUACUAAAUGGUCAAGAACUAAACACGAAGGGAUGAAAAAAGGAGUAGCAGAUGGGAAGGAUGUGAAGCCAACCAUACUUAAGGAGCUGAAGCCAAUUAGAAAGUGGAAAGCUUACUUGUAUAUGAAGAUUUUAAAAACUCUGUGUUUACCUGGACUGGGCACUCAUUUCACAUAGAGAGCAAAAGUAAGUUAAUCACAAAUGAAUGUUCAUUUUAAGACUAGAACCUAGUCAAUACUUUUAGGUUAAUAAAGAACUGUAUAUAUAAAGAUUCUGUAUUAGA